UAACCCACUAACCCAUGUUCUUGAGUGCUCUUGUGGUUGGUUUUCUUGCAGAUCAUGGGCUGAGUAGUGGAUGCUUGGAAUGCCUAUAAAUACCGACUUCAAUACUCAAGGAAGAUAAUCGAUUCUACGAAAUAAAAACCAAGGGCUGAAGAGAAUACACGAGUGUUUUAGUUAGGUUUUAGAAUCGAUUGUUUGUACUCUUCGUGAGUACAUUCUUUACGUACUCCUUAUGAGUACAUUCUUU
rnacentral:lncRNA from 1 species